rnacentral:tRNA from 5 species
GCGCCCGUAGCUCAGCUGGAUAGAGUAUUGCCCUCCGAAGGCAAGGGUCACAGGUUCGAAUCCUGUCGGGCGCACCA